AAGCUUGAAAUUUUGAAAAGAGAGGUUAUAAUAAGCCCGUCAAGCAAUUGACUAUGACACCAGAGACCUUAUGAAAUAGGUACGUCGGACCCGGGGGCAGUACCCGGCACCUCCACCAUUUAUGGGGGUGAAACAGGAUUGACGGUGUAUAGUAAAGAUAUGUGUUGUGUCCGGUGAGAUACCACCGUUAUCGGUUCAAAAAAAAUGAAUGCAAAUGAUAAUUUUGCACCAGUUGCUAUCGCUGCUUAAGCUGAGGCAACAAACUUAAAUCCUUUGUGCUUUGGUUAGUGCAGAGUGGGGGUUGAGCCACCCAGCAACAGAACGGCUCUUUU
rnacentral:tmRNA from 1 species